rnacentral:rRNA from 1 species
GUCGAACGGUAAGGCUCCAGCUUGCAGGUGUACACGAGUGGCGAACGGGUGAGUAACACGUGGGUGACCUGCCCUGCACUUCGGGAUAAGCCUGGGAAACUGGGUCUAAUACCGGAUAGGACCGCACCGUGAGGGUGUGGUGGAAAGUUUUUUCGGUGUGGGAUGGGCCCGCGGCCUAUCAGCUUGUUGGUGGGGUAAUGGCCUACCAAGGCGGCGACGGGUAGCCGGCCUGAGAGGGUGGACGGCCACAUUGGGACUGAGACACGGCCCAGACUCCUACGGGAGGCAGCAGUGGGGAAUAUUGCACAAUGGGCGGAAGCCUGAUGCAGCGACGCCGCGUGGGGGAUGACGGCCUUCGGGUUGUAAACUCCUUUCACCAUCGACGAAGGGUUUCUGACGGUAGAUGGAGAAGAAGCACCGGCUAACUACGUGCCAGCAGCCGCGGUAAUACGUAGGGUGCGAGCGUUGUCCGGAAUUACUGGGCGUAAAGAGCUCGUAGGUGGUUUGUCGCGUCGUCUGUGAAAUUCCGGGGCUUAACUCCGGGCGUGCAGGCGAUACGGGCAUAACUUGAGUACUGUAGGGGAGACUGGAAUUCCUGGUGUAGCGGUGAAAUGCGCAGAUAUCAGGAGGAACACCGGUGGCGAAGGCGGGUCUCUGGGCAGUAACUGACGCUGAGGAGCGAAAGCAUGGGGAGCGAACAGGAUUA